UUGAUAAGCGUGAGGUCGGAGGUUCAAGUCCUCCCAGGCCCACCAAUUUACCUAUCCAUUUGCUUUUAUCCGUUUAUUUGCCGAUUUAUCGGUCCAUUGAAUUUAAGUGUUGGUAGCAGUUUUUAUAAUGAUGAGAAAUCAUGCUUAUAAAAGAACUUCUUAUAAAAGGCUUGUUUUUAAAAUGUGACGCUUAUCCAUUUUGCUUAGGCAAGAGAAACUUCAAGCGGUUCAAAUGCAAAAGGCUUUAAAUUUUGCAAAACAAUUUGAAUUUUGCAAAACAAUUUGAAUUUUAAAGUGAUCCAAGUUCGUGAUCUCGAAUUUAAAAGUUUCGAAUGCUUUAUCCUUUUUUGGGGGCCGUAGCUCAGCUGGGA
rnacentral:misc_RNA from 1 species